rnacentral:rRNA from 1 species
UACGGGGGGGUGCGAGCGUUGUCCGGAAUCACUGGGCGUAAAGGGCGCGUAGGUGGCGUGAUAAGGGUGUGGUGAAAGCCCCGGGGGCUCAACCCCGGGUCUGCCAUGCCGACUGUCAGGCUAGAGUACUGUAGGGGCAGGCGGAAUUCCGGGUGUAGCGGUGGAAUGCGUAGAGAUCCGGAGGAAGACCGGUGGCGAAGGCGGCCUGCUGGGCAGUUACUGACACUGAGGCGCGACAGCGUGGGGAGCAAA